CAUUAGGAGCAGCUGUAUGUUUAAUUUCUCCAUAUAUUUAUAUUGAUGUUUAAGUUAUUUGAAGAAUUAAAUAAUUUGUGAAGAAGAAAGAGCGUGUUGGCGUCAUAAGGAUGAAAUCAAUUUUAUUUUUUUCUGUGGUGGUGUUUUUGUCUUUGGAAACAGUAAAAAGUCAAAAUGUUCCAAAAGAUUGCUCAUCGAUGAACUGCUUUGUUGCAGCCUGUGACUAUGCCGAGUGUCCAAAUUUUCCAGAGGCAACCUGCGUGGGAAUUUGUAACAGCUGCAUUGCAACGUGGAAAUACAAAGGCCGUGAUGUUACAAAGCAGUGCUGAGAAAGGAACAGCAUCUUGAUGUGUGAUCUAAUCUUGACAAUAAAUUGAUCACAUGGAUCAAAACCAUCCUUGCUUUAAAUAGAUCAACGGGACUGUUUAUGAAGGCAUACAACGGAUAACAACAUGUCACCCACGUGCACUGUAAACGUAUUAUGUUUGGCUGUGUAGUCCUUGUAACGUUUUUGACGUUAAGUCUCUUCCGCUAAAUCGAGUACAUCACUAAAUUCCAUUUAUAUAGUAACAAGUUUGUACAGCAAUAACCGCAUUAAAAACAUACAAAUCCAAAUCCAAGGUUACAUGUUGAAGAAUCAUUUUUCACUCAAUAUCGUACAAUUUAAAAUGAUGCAUGAUUUGUUUAAGUCAUCCGACGACAAAUCCAUUCGCGUCGCCUCUGUUGAGAGUUUUUCUUUCGAGGGCUAACAUACUAGGAAUAAAUGUUGUC